CAUGGACCAGUGGGGUCCCUCGGCCUGGCCUGUGCCCUCUCGCAACCUGGGACCCCUCGGGGGAUGUCGGUUUCAGCCUGAUCCCCGCAGGCCAGGCCGAGGGACCCCACUGGUGCACA
rnacentral:pre_miRNA from 1 species